GAUGAACGCUGGCGGCGUGCCUAACACAUGCAAGUCGAACGGACGGACGAUACGUUUGCUGCUCUGAUGUUAGCGGCGGACGGGUGAGUAACACGUGGAUAACCUACCUAUAAGACUGGGAUAACUUCGGGAAACCGGAUCUAACACCGGAUGAUAUUUUGAACCGCAUGGUUCAAAAGUGAAAGACGGUCCUGCUGUCACUUAUAGAUGGAUCCGCGCUGCAUUAGCUAGUUGGUAAGGUAACGGCUUACCAAGGCAACGAUGCAUAGCCGACCUGAGAGGGUGAUCGGCCACACUGGAACUGAGACACGGUCCAGACUCCUACGGGAGGCAGCAGUAGGGAAUCUUCGGCAAUGGGCGAAAGCCUGACGGAGCAACGCCGCGUGUGUGAUGAAGGUCUUCGGGUCGUAAAGCUCUGUUGUUAGGGAGGAACAUCUGUGUAAGUAACUGUGCAGAUCUUGACGGUACCGGAUCAGAAAGCCCCGGCUAACUACGUG
rnacentral:rRNA from 1 species